CGGCAACGGCAGGCACAUCCUUCCCCACAGACUUCGCCGCGCCCCCGCCGCCUCUUCCUCUUCGAUUCCCCAAUCCCCCCCGCUUCCCCGUCUCCGUCUCCUCCGCCGCCCCAAAAAUCUUCCUAAAUUGCCAGUCUUCGCACCAGCCGGCGGAACCCUAGCUCUGGAGCUGCUGCCAGAUCAGGGCGGCGGAAUCGGCGGCUCCUUCCCUGGCGCCGCACUUCGGAGGCCUGCGCCGCUCGGCGCGUCCCCCGUCCGCGUCUUUCCUCCGGCCACACCUUCAGGAUUCGCGCCGCUCCGCCUCCGGCCCGAGGGCUUUGGAGGCUUGCUCUUGCUGCCGUCUCUCAUCUUGGCCCUUCUGUCGUUGAUGCCCCGAUGCAAUUGCAGCUGUCCUUAUGCAAUGCAAUUCAUCCACGAACACAAUUGAUUCUGAUUCGUGCACCAACUACUAUUCUAUGCAACUAGUAUCUGCUGUUAGAUGUCAAUGGACCAGCAAAACUUCAGAAAAAUAUAUUCUUGAGUCUGAAAUGUCAUUUCCAUUGUCUCUGAUGCAUGGUGGUCGGCGGUAGUCACCUCUACCUUCUGUCGCAGCGUAUCCAGGGCAUAAUGUCGUUGUAGUCAAAGAGCUGCUAUUCUUUGUGCACGUGUUGGACGGAACUGAAGGCGUCGAGCGCUCUAUGGAAGCAUCCAAUCUCGCCGCUCUGCCAACUUCGCCUGAACGCCGACUGCCAAUGCUCCAUAUACCGUCAUACAAUCUUGCCAUUCUACCUACUUCACCGGAACACCGACCGCCGGUGCUCCAUCUGAGACGAUGGGUGUUGAACUGCUAGAAUAUUUAUGCCCCUUUGCAACACAUGGGCAUAUGUGCUAGCUUAUUCCAAAAGAGAAAAACAUUGGUACUAUGUUGAUAGCGAGGGUGCAAGGCUCAAGGGAAGCAGUUACAAAUUCAAUUCAACAUGUCAGUUGAGGAAGCUGCUGAGUUAGCAUGGUGGGCUAUUUACCAUUCAAUAUUCCAUGACGGAGCUAGUGGUGGCUGUGUUAGUGGCGGUGUUGUUAACCACUCGUUUUCUUCAACAUGAACAUCAUCUUGGUCGGCCUAUUAACCAAGAAUGUGUUUGAUCCACGCCAUAUGCGUAUUUCCAUCCAAAGUAGAUGAAUUUAUUUGAACCGAGAAAGAGGGCACAGGAUUGAUCCAAUUCACAUCGAUGAUCCUCUUUGCCCUGCUAACAAUGUGGGCAGGAAUUGUUUCCGGGUCCACCAAUGCAUCAAGGCUUUUGCUGAUGCUUUUGCUGUUCUAGAAAACGAGCUACUGCAGUUCAGUGCAGAAUGUAACAUGCCUGCAUCAUCAUUUAGCCUACUGAAGGAAAUAAUUCCAAGUAUUGAUUCUAAUGAGUUGUAGCAAUGGAAAGAGCCUGUGAUUCCACAAGCUACAGGAACUGUUGGGUUGGAAUGGCCUCUGCUGUGUCUAGACACCGAGUUACUUACUGCAGCUGGUGGAAAAGGCUUGUUCGAAGGUACAAUGCCAGCUGCCCUUCUCUCGCCUCUGGCUGCUUAGAACCCGAGACCGUUGAUUGAGGUAUUAGGCCGAAUUGGAUGCAAGAGCAAGAUGGUGCUGCACUCUGCACACAGAAGAUCCUUAACCUCGUGCCGGUGGUAUGUGCUGCCAAGGAUGCGGAAAUGGAAUCGCCUAAUGACGUGUGCUGCCAGACCUAUAAGGUCACUGAGGAGCAGUACAGCAGGUCCGCACAGAACUCCAGAUCCGGAGGAGCACUCGGGAUAAGCUCUAGCAGAGGCUCUACAUGUUUCCUGAAUCAUCUGUUCUCUGAACCUUAGGAAAUGCCUAAGGAAAAUCAGAACAUCCUGGAACAAGUUCUUUGUGCUUUUGGCAGUCAACAUCAGCUUGUGGAACAGGAAAUGGAGAAAUUCUACGAAGGAGGCUACCUGUGUUCGGAAACAGAGUAGGAAGCAACUCCUACUUGGAGCUGGUACAAGGCUUGAUACUGGAAGUGGUGUCCGGUGUAGCAAAGCGAUUUUCAGAUCGUCGUUUCUCCGGAACAGCAAGAUUGUUCCUUGAACACACCAAGAGGGUAACUGCCAUGAUUACUGCCGUGAUCUCGAGUACCAGAUUCUUCGUUGCAGUUACUCGCCAAUGGGAUUGCCGAGCUACUCUUCAGUUACAGUCAGAGCAAUCUUUAUGGCAUCAGGGACAUGGUCAGGUGACGGCGUUGGCUCGUCUUAUAAAGGCAGACUUCGUUUCCUGCAGCUGAUGAGAUUCAAGUUGCUGCUUUUGUAGCGAAGCACACUUCGGUUCCUGCUUUUGUAGCGAAGCAGAUUUAAGUUACCGCUUUUGUAGUUUACUCCAACACAAAUUUGAAACUAGCAUGUUCUUGAUUUGCUGCGCUGAUGUAGUGAUGUUCUUGCGCUUUCUUUCUUGUGCAAGUAUCGAUUUUUGCUUUCUCUGUCACAAGCUAUUCUCAGAACUAAGAAUUCUUUACAAAAUUACACAUGUAGUAGAUGUUAAUGUGAUAUGUACACUUUGCAUUUCUUCCUUCUAAAGUAACUAGUAAAUGUGUAGAUGCAAUGCACGUUAAUAUUAGGCAGUAUAUUAAUUGCGCGGAUAUUAGGUAGGAUAUUAUUUACGUGUUAAUUAUAUGUUUAGCACAAUAUAUGGUAUGGUAUUAAUUACACGCUAAACGUGUUGAGCUCUCGACAUUAGAGCAGUCUAGGUCGUUGGAUUGACUUGGGUUGACGGCCAAGAUUAGUUGGAUCUGCCACUUUGGGUCUUUUUAUAUUGGUAUAGAUAUAGAUAUAGAUACACAUUUUGUGUGACAAGAGGACAUUCGUGGUGGGCUAACAAGGCCACUUUCUGUGCACAAGGCCACUUUCUGUGCACAAAUUUAUUUCCUGUCAUUCACUAGCAAUAAAAAUGCAUUAUGUUGCACCAUUUUUCUUUCUUGUUGCAAAUGUGGACAUUACCAGUUAGAAGUCCAUUUCAAACUAACAACCCUUAAACUCACUUUGGUUUAAAAUCUUUGAGAUACUAAGCUCCCUCUAUUUGAGCAUGUUCUACAAGGCAUUGCUUAGUUUUUAGUUUUUUAUUACUUUAUUUCUCUUUUGGUUUUAAUAUUCUUUUUUAUUUUUUAUUUUGAUUUUUUUGACAUUUGUAUUCAUGAUUUUUUUAAAAAAUCAUGACAUUUUGAUUUGGAAUCUACACUUUUUUAACUUAAUUACUGUAUCCUGUUUCUGUGAGAUAUUUGUUUCUGUAUAAUAUAUUCUAUUUUAAUGAUCGGCUCACAUGAAUGUAGAUAUUUGGCCAGCUUUGAGUUUCAAACUUCAGUAGUCGCAAUGGAAAAAUAAAAAUUUAUCCCUUGCCCCUCUUCUUAGCAAGUUCAUAUUUUUAUUUGAAAUUGCCACUUAUGCUACAUUUUUGCUGUUUUGUAUUUGGCAGAAUCUAGGUAGCCUUUUGAUGGAUUUCCUGUAUUGUUUGUGUGUAAGUGAGUAUGCAUGAACACUUUAUUGUUUAAAACACAAGGGAAAAGAUGAGUGCCUGAUGUGGAAAAAGCGUGUAAAGUAUGCUAGAAUGACUAGGACCCUUAUGUAUGGUUUCUCUUUUGGGAUAGCUAAAUUAGCAAUAUAUUGGUGCGUCUGACAUCUAACCGCUUUCAAACAUUCUGGAUGACAGGAAUGUGUUUGAUCCACACCAUAAGCGUAUUUCCAUCCAAAGAGGAAUUUAUUUGAACCGAGAAAGAGGGCACAGGAUUGAUCCAAUUCACAUCGAUGAUCCUCUUUUCCCUGCUAACAUUAUGGGCCGGAAUUGUUUCCGGGUCCACCACUGCGCCAAGGUUGGCUCAAAUUAUCUUUUCUGGACUGGUUGAAUCCUUCUGUUCUUGUCUAGAGCUUUUGGAGUUGUGGCAAUGCUGUGAUUAUGCUCUUUUAUCUGAUAUAUAUUUGAUCCUUAACCUCCUGGCGGUGGUAUGUGGUGCCAAGGAUGCGACAUGGGCAUGGACACGGUCAUGGAGGAGCAGUACGAGCAGACCCGCACAGAACGCCUGACCCGGAGGAGCGCACAGGAUAAGCUCUAGCAGAGGCUCUGCAUGUUUUCUGAAUCAUCUGUUCUCUGAACCUUAGAAAACCGCUGAAGAAAACAGGAACUAUAUCCGUAUGGAGGGCCAAGUCCUUCGUGCUUUUGGCAGUCUGCAUGAGCUUGUGGAACAGGAAAUGGAGAAUUGCUAUGGAGGAGGCUACCUGACUUGAUGCUGGAACUGGUGACCGGUAUUGGCGGAGCAAAUUUCGAAAUAGAUGUUUCUUCCGAAGAGCAAGAUUGUUCCUUGAACACACCAAAAGGGUAGCUGUGAAGAUUACUGCCAGGAUCUGAGUGUCAGAUUCUUCGUUGAAGUUACCCGCAGUGCGAUUGCUGAGUUGGUCUCUUUGAGAAACAAGUCAGGGCAAGUUUAUUGAUAUGAUGUGCAAAAUUACAAGCACGAUGAACACCACACCAUGCAGAGCAUCAGGAAGAUGAACAGGCGAAGCUUCAGGCGAUGACUGACAAGGUUGGUCUGUCUUACAAAAACAGGCUUCAGUUCCUUCGACUGAUGAGAUUCAAGUUACCAUAGCUUUUGUAGUGAAAGCAGACUUCGGUUCCUGCAGUUGAUUGGGUUUAAGUUACCGCCGCUUUUCUUGUGUACUACCAACACUAAUUCAUCACUAGCACGUUGUUGAUUCACCGCGGUGAUGUUCUUCUGUUUCUUUCCUGUGCAAGUAACCAUUAAUACUACGUAUUAUCGAAGUACCUUCAUUGA